rnacentral:rRNA from 1 species
UACGUAGGGAGCAAGCGUUGUCCGGAAUCAUUGGGCGUAAAGCGCGCGUAGGUGGCCCUGUAAGUCCGUUGUGAAAGUCAAAGGCUCAACCUUUGAAAGCCGAUGGAUACUGCAGGGCUAGAGUACGGAAGAGGCGAGUGGAAUUCCUGGUGUAGCGGUGGAAUGCGCAGAUAUCGCUUGGAACGCCGACGGUGAAAACAGCUCGCUGGGGACUCGCUGACGCUGAGACACGAAAGCCAGGGGAGCGAACGGG